rnacentral:misc_RNA from 1 species
UCGAGUGAGGGUUCCCUUUGCGGGCCCAACCUCCCACCCGUGAUUAUGUACCGUGUUGCUUCGGCGGGCCCGCCCAGGGGUUUCAUUGCCCCCUUGGCCCGUGCCCGCCGGAGACCUCCUGAACGCUGCUCUAGAAAAUAGGUUGCAGUCUGAGUGAAGAAUAUAAUUGUCA